GCCAGGCACGGUAGUGCGUGCCUAUAGUCCCAGCUACUCAGGAGGCUGAGGAGGGAGGAUGGCUUAAGACCAAGAGUUCUGGGCUGUAGUACGCUAUGCCAGUAGGGUGUCUACACUAAGUUGGGCAUCAAUAUGGUGACCUCCCGGGAGCAGGGGACCACCUAAGGAGGGGUGAACUGGCCCAGGUCAGAAACGGCCCAGGUAAAAACUCCCGUGCUGAUCAGUAGUGGGAUUGCACCUGUGAAUAGCCACUGCACUCCAGCCUGAGCAACAUAGGGAGACCCCGUCUUAA
ensembl:misc_RNA Metazoa_SRP Metazoan signal recognition particle RNA